ACCGCUAAUCCCUUUUUAUCUCCCCUUUGCUCCCUGGUCGGAUCCUUGCUUCCCUUGCAAUUCAGCAGCGAGAGCAGGAGCAUUUCUCCCCCAGCGCGCAGGAGCUCCCUGGCUGCCCCUCACCUCCAGCCACCACCGCUCCUCCCAUGGCGCGCAAGCCCCAAGCUCCCCACGCGCGUUCCUUUCUUCCAGGCGCGUGAGCUCCCUCCGGCGUCGGCCAACAGGCAGGAUUGAGCACCGAGCUCAUCCAUGGCGCCUCCCAUGGCGCGGGCCCUCCUCUGGUCCAGUGCGCGCGAGGAGUCCCCCAUGGCCGACCUCCCUUCUUCCCUCUCGGCCUCCUCUGCCCUGGGUCUGGCACCCCUCCCCACAGUAGCAAAUCGCCGGUGCCCUCCCGCAGCAGCGCGCCACGACCCUUUCUACUCGUGCGCAGGAUUGCUGGCAGGGUCCUGCCAUGGCCAGACCUGCCUCCUCUAGCUCGGCGCCCUCCCUGCUACCUUCCAGGGCGCGCCAAGGCCCCUCCUCCCAUGGGCGCCACCAGCAGGAGCUCCUACUCCCGUGGUGCCUCUGCUCUCCCAUCCAGGCACCCCUUCCCCUAGCGGAUCCAUGGUUCUAGGCGGAUCUCCUCCUCAGCCGACGCUCCAGCCUGGCGUCUUCCCCCUUCUCUGGCCAUUUUGCACAGCAGCAUCCAGCAUCAUCGCUCCCCUUCAGCCAUGGUCGCCGAGCCCCAGCGCACCCCCUUGGCCGUCGGCCUUUGCGCCUCCCUCCACUCGGCACCCCUCGACGCAGCACACCAAUCAGAGACACGACGCCCUUCUCUACGUUCUGAGCCCAGCCAUGGAGGUUGUCGGUCUGCAGCUCCCCUCUGCUCGGACGCCGAGCUCCGUACGCCGGGUCCCCUCUCCAGCGGCCCCCAUCCCCCAGCAGCCGCCAUGGCCGAGCUCAGUGGCGCGGCGCCCCUGCUAUCUCCUCCCCAACGCCGAUGCCUUUCCUACUCAUCAAUGGAGAUCUUGUCGGCGGCUGACUGCCUCGCUUCGCGGUGCCCCUCCUCACCAUCGGGUGCUCGCCGAGCCGACCCCGCUAGCCACCCUCUCCAGCUCGCCAUUCCCCCUGUAGCAGCGCGAUGAUUUCCUCUGCUGCCAGAGGCCUCGCCCAAGUCCGGCCUUGGUCGCUCCCAUCGCCGACCGAGCUCCUCUUCUGUACCAGGCCAUCCGCCUUGUCUCCAUUGUCAUGUGCAGCGAGCUCUAUUUUUUCCCAGUGCUCUCGCCUGCUCGACGUAAUGUCGCAGCGCGAAGCGGCCAUGGAUCCUCCCUGUGUCGCGCCCUCGGCGUGCUUGACGUAAUGCCGCAGCAAACUGCAGCAGCGACGCCCUUCUCUGCGACGCGCUCGCCAGGUCGGUCCACUCGCCGUCGAUCUGCGCAGCCCCUGCACGUCGUCGUCGAAACCCGCGCCCUCCGUCGAUGUCACGCCUCGUGCUAUGCCUAUGCGACGCAAUGCUAGCCGGUGGACAGCACAUGCGACUCACCGAUCCGGCCAGGACCGAGAGAUGAUAAUCGUGCAAGUGAUAUGGUGCCAACCACAAGGUGCAGUCGGUGGACGACCCAAGGAUGGACUUAACCAGUGGAUGCUCGCCAAGCAAGUACCCCACCCCCAGCAAACACUAUCUAAGUGUUAAAUUGAAGGCAAGCCCCGGUUUUAUGCAUAACCGUUUAUAUAUGCUAUUUUACUACACUUACUGUUUGUAGGCUUGUACCGUGCACUUAAGUGUAGGAGUUGGUUGAAACCCUAGUUGCAUGAACUCAGGAUUCCUUUUGUGAUGGAUACUAGUAUGCUAGGUCGAGUAGCUGCUAUGCUAAAUCAGGAUCUCGGUAGAAGUCGAGUGAUUUUUCUAGCACUCGCGCGAGGUCAGGAAUUGGUUGUAUCCAUUUUUGAUAACAGAAUGAUGAUGGUCUGUGGACACGGAUCCAUGGGGAUGCAUUGUCUAUGAGACAAAAUUGGAAUAAGGAUUAACGUGUGGAUACCAGUGUCAAGCGUUUGAAUGUACUAAACACAUGUCGGGAAAAAUGGUAACCGGUAAACCUAGUACCUGAGUGAAGCCGGGCGCGGACUUUAUCCCUCACGCGACCUGAGACGGGGUUUCCCAUUCUAGAUAUGGUGGGUACAAGUGCGGCCACUGCACGACGGCAGUCGGGGUCAGUGGAGCAUUGUAUCCCAAGGCGGUGAGGCCUGAACGCGAAUGGGGAAUCGAUGGGGAUGGUUGACAUGUGUGGGGACGGAGUGCCCUGACAUGUCGUGUGUUUAGGUUUACCUUGCAAGGUUAAAACUCGAUUCGAAUCGUCUGCUUCUCGCAGCUAAUGAGACUGCUUGAUCCAUUGUACUGCAUUGAGUAAUAAGUGGAAAUGAGAUACUGGCAAAAGGUGUUGAUUGAUAUAAUGUUUGAUACCAUGUAUGAAUAGAUAGGUUCUCAUCUAGUCUAAAUUAUUAUUCUAGAACUUGAAAAGCUAAAACCUGUUUUUAGACUCAGCUAGUGCUUUUGGCAAACCAAACCCCUCAGCCAAACAGCUUCAUGGUCUAGAGGUAGAGGAGUAGACUCCUCACACCAGGUAAGUCUAGCUGAGUAUUAGUAUACUCAGCCUUGCUUGUGGCAUAAUUUUUGCAGGUACCUCCUUGAUUUGGUUGAUGGUGUGACUUGGCCUCCAUCCCUGCCACCGGGAUAGACGGUCAAGUGGGUUACUGCUUCCGCAGGAGAGGACCAGGAGGAGUAGUGUGGCCAGGCUUCGCCAUGUUAUUCGGUUCUUCUCCGUUAGUUAUUUCCGCUGCAUUAAAAAUUCAUGGUUAUUAUUUCUGAAACUCUGAUAAUGUAAUUACUACUGAUACUUAUUAAAUUUGUGGUAUUAUGCUUUAUUGUAUUUCUCUGUGCCUCACCUUCGAGUGAGCUAGUGGUAUUCGAUCCUGGAUAAGUGGUUUUAUCGGACUAGAUCCGAGGGACUGCCGGGUUAUUCCGAUUUAAGUAUGUUGCUGCCUUUAACGGUGCGACUUAGGCACUUAAGCUGGAAUAAUAUGGGUGGUUCCGCCACAGCGCGGUGGGGGUCCCGGCCUCCAGUCUAGCGGAUCGCCAUGCCGCUCUCGUCGAGGGUCGGUAGCGUGGCCAAGAUCGCCGUCCUCAGCCCUGGGUCGUCGCAGAGCGCAGGGAUGUUCUGGGGGAGGAUCAGGGACUCAGGGACGAAGGUUUCCCCGGUAAUCCCUCCCACCAGGACCGCCAGCUCGUCCCAGGAUAGGUCGGUGCCCGGCCCGCGCUGGACCCUGCCGAUGUCGUUCGCACCGGUGAACCAGCAACACAGGCGCGCCCUCCUCUGCAGUGGCGCGAUCCGGCGCUUCAAGAAGUCGCCGACCAAUGCAUCGACGUCAGGCUGCCCGUAGCCAAGCCCUUGAUCCUUUCCAGUACGGGCAGGAACUCCAGCGCCAGGGACGGCUUGGUCCUCCACAGCUUGCGGUCGAGCGCCGGCCCAUCGCUCGGCAGGACGAGGCAGUCGUUGGCCUCGGUGCUAGCAAUCACCCAGUCGCCGUGCCAGUUUUCCCAUCUCACGCCGCCGAGGGUGGGGAUGUAGACAACGGCUGGAUCUCGCCUCGUCUGGAAGUAGUAGACACCAAUGUGGUCCCUAGUCUUCCCGGACUUGACCAGCACGAAGAAGUGGCGGAAGAGAGAAGUGCAGGGAGCCACACCCACGAACAUCUCGCAGAGGUGGACAAAGAUGGCCGCUUGGAGGACGGAGUGGGGCGUGAGGUGCUGAAGCUCGAACUCCUCCAGCAGCAGCAAGAAGAAGGGCGAGAUCGGUAGCGCCAACCCGCAGGAGAUGUAGGAGGUAAAUAGCACAAACUCCUCGGCGACGAGAUCGUCGAGGGGGACGGCGUCGGCGCGGAUUCUUCUGGCGAGCCCUAGCGCACUCCACCCAAGCAGGCCGCGCACCAGAUUGAGCGCCUCCUUAGACUGAAAGCGGUCGGGAUGGCCGAGCGAAGUCAUGGCUUGUGCGGCGGCGCGGGUGUAGAGCAUAAGAGCAUGAAGGCAAAGGGGUGCAGAGGAGCACGAAGGAAAAGAGGCGCAGUCGAUUGGAAGAGAAUGCAAAAGGGUAACUGCUGCACGCGGGGUGAAUCCUUUUUCAAGGAAACCUGAGUCCUCGUUCAGGGAAACCCUUCCGUGUGCCCCUCAAUCGCCGCAGAAGAUCACGUGCGACGGACACCUAGAUCCAAGCAGCCCAGUUUAUGACUCGGGGGCCUGGGUCCACAAGUCAUACACUUUGCGAGUCGGAUUUCGGGUGCGGGAAAAGCGGACCGCCACACACGCCGGUAGUGUGCCUCCUCGGGGUCGCUGAAGAAGACAGAAGGUAAUUUUUUAAACCAUUGCAGCGGUAACUGAGAGCACCUAGAGGGGGGGGGGGGUGAAUAGGUGAUCCUGUAAAAUUCAACACUAAAUGCCAACAACCUUGAUUAUAAAGAUAUUAGUGCGGGUUAAUCAAGUCAAUGAGACGAGCUCUUGUGAACACGGACAAUCAAAGAGAGAGCAAUCACAAGAGACACGCGAUUUUAUCCCGUGGUUCGGCCAAGUAACACUUGCCUACUUCCACGUUGUGGCAUCCCAAUGGACGAAGGUUGCACUCAACCCCUUUCAUGUGAUCCAAUGAUCAACUUGAAUACCAUGACUUUUCUUCCUUAUAUCUUUUACCCGUUUGCGAGGAAUCUCCACAAGUUGGAGCCUCUCGCCCUUACAAGAUUGAUCACAAAGAACACACAAGAGUAAGGUUGGGAAGAGCAACGCACACAAGACUAAAAAACAAAGCACACCAACGCACACAAGUGAAGACUUGAGCUCAAAUGACACACAUGGAGUUCUUGACUCGAAUGGAGCUCAAAUCUCUAACACAAGAAAGCAAAUGCGCGGGAGCAGAGUCUGGAUGCCUUAGAAUGCUUAAUGAAUGCUUGGGGUAGCUCCUCCAUGCACCUAGGGGUCCCUUUUAUAGCCCCAAGGCAGCUAGGAGCCGUUGGAGGCCAACAAGGAAGGCCAAUCUUGCCUUCUGUCGUGUGGCGCACCGGACAGUCACUAUAGAUGGUCCGGUGCGGAUCUCCUUCCUUUUCUGGCGCAUUUAACCGUUGCAGCUCCGGGCCAGUUGGCGCACCGGACACUGUCCGGUGCACACCGGAUAGUCCGGUGCCCCCUGCCGACCGUUGGCGCGGGCCACACGUCGCCCGCAGAUUGCACGGCCGACCAUUGCGCUGGCGACCAUUGGCUCACCGGACCGUCCCGUGAAUUAUAGCCGUACGCCGCCGAUUUUUCCCGAGAGUGGCCUUUUCACCGGAGUCCAGCCUGGCGCACCGGACACUGUCCGGUGCGCCACCGGACAGUCCGGUGUGCCAGACUCAGCUGGACUUCGGCUGCACACAGCCAAGUCACUUGCAAUUCUUUUCUUUUCUUUUCUUCUCUAUUUCUAGCACUUAAACAAAUACAUUAGUAUACAAAAACAAAUGUACUAAGUCUAGAAACAUAACUCAUGUCUUGAUUUGCACUUUUUCGAUCUUUGGCACAUUUAGAACUUAGAGAAUAUGUGUUGGGCACUUAAUCACCAAAACAUUAUAGAAAUGGCCCAAAGGCACAUUUCCCUUUCAAUCUUCCCCUUUUUGGUGAUUUAUGCCAACACAACCAAAAGAAACCAAAAGAAGUGCAAUAUCAAUGCAAUUGAAUACCAAAUUGUUUUUGACUAUAAUUUGGCAUAUUUGGAUCGCUCUUUGCCACCACUUGGUUUGUUUUUGCAAAAUAAAUUCAUUUUCCUAUCUCUAAGUCAAACUCACUUGUUUGGGCAUAAAGAGAGAUAAUCCAAGAGUGAAAUUGAUCAAGUGCCAAAAACUCCCUUUUUCCCAUAAUCAUAAAUUCUCCCCCACAAGAGACUAAAUUUUGCAAUAAGAGCAUUUUGGACAAAUCAAAAGUUCUAACUCUAUUGUUUUCAAAAUUCACAAGUGGUAGCUGAUCCAUUUGCUUUGGCCUUAAUUUCUCCCCCUUUGGCAUUAAUACCAAAACGGGAUCAUCAUUGGCCCUUUAACCCCAUUGCCUUACCAAAAAUGUCAAUUAAGAGCAAAAAGGCAAUAAGAGCAUAAGAAUGAACUUCGAAUUAAGUACACUAAUACCGGAGUGCAGUGGAAGUCUUUGCAUGGUCCAAGUUCACCUUUCCCUUUCAAUCCACUUUUGAGACUAUAUCAAGUAUACUCAACCAAAUAGAUUAGUCUCAAGGGGUCAAGUUGUAGCACAUCUCCCCCUAAAUAUGUGCAUCAUUCACACGUGGACUUGUGAGGUCCGGGGAUCCCUUGCACAACUUGAGCACCAUAAGUAAGCAACAAAUUUCAUAAAUGCAUAAAGUAACAUGAUCAAACGCAUAAAACACAUGUAUGUUAUAAAUCAAUCCAAGUUACGCGAAUCUAAGACAUUUAGCUCACUACGCAGCCUGCAAAAGGUUUUCUCAUCUAAUGGCUUGGUAAAGUUAUCGGCUAGCUGGUUCUCGGUGCUAACAUGAUACACUUCGAUAUCUCCCUUUUGCUGGUGGUCCCUCAUAAAGUGAUGCCAGAUGUCUAUGUGCUUAGUGCGGCUGUGUUCAACAGGAUUAUCCGCCAUGCGGAUUGCACUCUCAUUGUCACAUAGGAGUGGGACUUUGCUCAGAUUGUAGCCAAAGUCUCGGAGGGUUUGCCUCAUCCAAAGUAGUUGCGUGCAACACUGUCCUGCGGCAACAUACUCGGCCUCAGUUGUGGAUAGGGCAACAAAGGUUUGUUUCUUUGAACUCCAAGACACCAGGGACCUUCCUAGGAAUUGGCACGUCCCUGAUGUACUCUUCCUAUCAACCUUGCAUCCAGCAUAAUCGGAAUCUGAAUAUCCAAUCAAGUCAAAGGUAGACCCCUUUGGAUACCAGAUCCCGAAGCAAGGCAUAGCAACUAAAUACCUAAGAAUUCGCUUAACGGCCACAAGGUGACAUUCAUUGGGGUCGGAUUCAAAUCUAGCACACAUGCAUACACUAAGCAUAAUGUCCGGUCUACUAGAACAUAAGUAAAGUAAGGAACCUAUCAUAGACCGGUAUGCCUUUUGAUCAACGGACUUACCUCCUUUGUUGAGGUCGACGUGUCUGUCGGUUCCCAUAGGUGUCUUCAUGGGCUUGGCGUCCUUCAUCCCAAACCUCUUGAGAAGAUCUUGUCUGUACUUCGUUUGGGAGAGGAAAGUGCCGUCCUUGAGUUGCUUCACUUGGAACCCAAGGAAGUAGGUCAACUCGCCCAUCAUAGACAUCUCAAACAUUUGAGUCAUCACCCUGCUAAACUCCUCACAAGACUUUUGGUUAGUAGAACCAAAUAUUAUGUCAUCGACAUGAAUUUGGCACACAAAAAGAUCACCGUCACAAGUCUUAGUGAAAAGAGUGGGAUCGGCUUUCCCAACCUUGAAAGAAUUAGCAAUUAAGAAAUCUCUAAGGCAUUCAUACCAUGCUCUUGGGGCUUGCUUAAGUCCAUAGAGCGCCUUAGAGAGCUCAAACACAUGGUCGGGAUACCUGUCAUCCUCAAAGCCAGGGGGUUGUUCCACGUACACUUCCUCCUUGAUUGGCCCAUUGAGGAAAGCGCUCUUCACAUCCAUUUGAAACAGCCUAAAAGAAUGGUGAGCGGCAUAGGCUAAUAAUAUUCUAAUAGAUCCUAGCCUGGCCACAGGAGCAAAAGUCUCCUCGAAAUCCGAACCUGCGACUUGGGCAUAACCUUUUGCCACAAAUCAAGCCUUGUUUCUUGUCACCACCCCGU